rnacentral:rRNA from 1 species
CCUACGGGAGACUGCAGUGAGGAAUAUUGGUCAAUGGACGAGAGUCUGAACCAGCCAAGUCGCGUGAGGGAUUAAGGCCCUGCGGGUCGUAAACCUCUUUUGUCGGGGAGCAGAGGUCCGGACGUGUCCGGGCCGGGAGAGUACCCGGAGAAAAGGCAUCGGCUAACCCCGUGCCAGCAGCCGCGGUAAUACGGAGGAUGCGAGCGUUAUCCGGAUUUAUUGGGUUUAAAGGGUGCGUAGGCGGGCAUUUAAGCCGGCGGUAAAAUGUCGGGGCUCAACCCCGGCCAGCCGUGGAAACUGGCUGCCUUGAGUGGGCGAGAAGUAUGCGGAAUGCGUGGUGUAGCGGUGAAAUGCAUAGAUAUCACGCAGAACCCCGAUUGCGAAGGCAGCCUGCCGGAGCCCUACUGACGCUGAGGCACGAAAGUGCGGGGAUCGAACAGGAUUAGAUACCCUGGUAGUC